UCCUGGUUUGCUCAGUCGGUAGAGCGCUCCACUGGAAAUGGAGAGGUCCUUGGUUCCAUACCAGGACCAGGAG
rnacentral:tRNA from 2 species